rnacentral:tRNA from 40 species
GGGGCAGUAGCUCAGUUGGGAGAGCGCGUCGUUCGCAAUGACGAGGUCAGGGGUUCGAUCCCCCUCUGCUCCACCA